rnacentral:lncRNA from 1 species
GGUAAUAUAGAUGCAAAUUUAACGGGUUACUUUAAGUUUUUAAGUAAUAGCGGUGGACAAUUUGGUUGCAAAUUAGGGGGUUAUUUUAAAUAUUAUUUAUAAUGGUAUAAGUGGGUAAUUUUGAUGAAGAUUAAGGGGUUAUUUUAGUUUAUUUUAUAUAAUGGUAGAGGUAGGUAAUUUAUAUAUAGAUUUAGGAGGUUACUUUAGGCUAUUUUCAUAAUGGUAUAGGUGGGUAAUUUUUUAGAAAAUAUAAUAGAUCUAAUGGCUAUGAUGAUUUGAAUCUAUCGAUAGAUGGUCGGAUAUUUUGCUUUUUUGUGAGAAUUUCUAGGAUUUCUCUCUUUUUCUAGAGUGUCCACCUAGGAAUCCUAGGUGGCUUCACCUGGAGGCUUCAAACGAAGCCUCCAAUUAGUAAAUUAGUAAUAGUAAGAUUCCACGUGAAGGAACUGCUGGGAUUUGCCUGUCAUUGGAUAAGAUGUGACUUAAGU